GACGAACGCUGGCGGCGUGCCUAAUACAUGCAAGUCGAGCGAGCUUGCCUAGAUGAAUUUGGUGCUUGCACCAGAUGAAACUAGAUACAAGCGAGCGGCGGACGGGUGAGUAACACGUGGGUAACCUGCCCAAGAGACUGGGAUAACACCUGGAAACAGAUGCUAAUACCGGAUAACAACACUAGACGCAUGUCUAGAGUUUAAAAGAUGGUUCUGCUAUCACUCUUGGAUGGACCUGCGGUGCAUUAGCUAGUUGGUAAGGUAACGGCUUACCAAGGCAAUGAUGCAUAGCCGAACUGAGAGGUUGAUCGGCCACAUUGGGACUGAGACACGGCCCAAACUCCUACGGGAGGCAGCAGUAGGGAAUCUUCCACAAUGGACGCAAGUCUGAUGGAGCAACGCCGCGUGAGUGAAGAAGGGUUUCGGCUCGUAAAGCUCUGUUGGUAGUGAAGAAAGAUAGAGGUAGUAACUGGCCUUUAUUUGACGGUAAUUACUUAGAAAGUCACGGCUAACUACGUGCCAGCAGCCGCGGUAAUACGUAGGUGGCAAGCGUUGUCCGGAUUUAUUGGGCGUAAAGCGAGUGCAGGCGGUUCAAUAAGUCUGAUGUGAAAGCCUUCGGCUCAACCGGAGAAUUGCAUCAGAAACUGUUGAACUUGAGUGCAGAAGAGGAGAGUGGAACUCCAUGUGUAGCGGUGGAAUGCGUAGAUAUAUGGAAGAACACCAGUGGCGAAGGCGGCUCUCUGGUCUGCAACUGACGCUGAGGCUCGAAAGCAUGGGUAGCGAACAGG
rnacentral:rRNA from 1 species